GCCCUAGUGUCUUCUUAGAAGCUAUUAUCCCUACUACAAGGUGGUUGCCAAACAAGCAAAUCUCUGCCUUUUUUGACCGUCUGUGCUGGGAUAAUUUGGACUGAUCUAAUAUUUGGCUUAGGUGAAACAACCAGAUCAUACAUUUGGCCCAUAAAGACCCAUUGGAGGCAGCCCUCUUGCAGCAUGAUUUUCAAACCUGAUGGUAGUUGUCCACCGUAAGAGUCUUUACAUUUAAAUAUUACCCACCCCACUCUAUGUCUAUGUCUAAAUGACUUGGAGGAGAGGAACUACAGAAGGUAUGUGACAACUGAUUGAGGAGCUCUGGCCUGUUUGCCGUAGAUCUGCUGACCAUGAGAAAUAACGCUACAGCCGUCUUCCAUUAUAACUGAAUUAACUUCCUUUGCUAUAAGGUUUAAUUGCCCUUUAAUACAAAGAUUUAAGUGGUCCCAUUGUUCUUUUAACUUGGACUGGAAAAGAAAACCAAUUACAGGCCUAUCCGAAAGGACUGGAAAGAGGUUUUAACCAACCCGCCCUGAGAUUAAUUGGUUCCAUUUGGACUUUUAUACGAUUGUUUCCUGGAACGCCACCUGCGCUUGUUAUUUAUAGGCGAAAAAUGGAGCGGACGAAGGCCAUCGAAGGCUUUUGGAGGCCCCGCGUUUAUUGUGGGGCGGAUUUGCCAGUGGGGCCACUCUGCAUGCACAGGCAGCUAUUGUUUCCUUCGGAGAGCUGUUCGGAUGUUUUAUUUAUUUGUUUCUAGUUAAUGGAAGCGCUCCACUAUGAGAGUCAUAAAGCAAAUAUUUACCAUCCACUGGUUUUAUAAUAGGGGAGAGUUCAUUAGGUUUCAUCGUAAAUUAGGCACAAACAAUGGCGCAGAGGAUCAUGGACGGUUCCCUUUGUUCCCCCUACUUGUUUAGUCAAUAAUGUUUGCUCUUGUUCUUCAUGGUGGGGAGCACAAAGGAGGAUGCACAACAUAGGGCUCCAGGCUCUAAGAGUUGGGGUUCUCUUGUUUUUCUAAUAUCAUUAAGGGCUUUCGUAUUCUUUCUGAGCGAGGACGAUUCCUUGGGCAGAGGCAGCACAGAAGGUUCUCUUUUACAUGUAUAUUAGAAAUGCGGAAAAUAUUCUUCAAAAGUAGAAUAAAAUGAUCGGAAGUAGAUUGACUCAUAUCUAAAGCACCUGUAAUAACUGCCUUCUAAAAUACCUAUCAGAAGAUAAAGGCAAAGUCGACGUAUUGCCGAAAUAGGAUAAUAUGGCGGUGAAUAUUAUUAUGUAACCUGGCUUCAAAUAUAAAAUAUUUUAUAGGAAAAAAAAAGAACUUUUUGUGUUCGAGGAGGUUAAAUGUCUUUUUAUUCGACGUUAUCUUUUGCUGAGUGGUAACAGCGUCGGACUGGCCCACCGGGAAAAAUCCCGGUGGGCCCCAGUCCUUGUGGGCCCCUGUGGCCACUACUAUAUAAUCUGUAUUGCUGCUGGUGCUCAACUCGUGAUCUUGUAUCACGCAGCUAUGGCCCCGCCUCCUGCCUCUUCUCCACCUGGUGGCUGCGCUUCAGCUGUGCGCCUAUUUUCCGAUUUGAGCCCUGAUGACGUCACUUGCCGUGCCUGCGCCCUCACGUGGUGGGGGAAUCAGGGAGAAAGAGCGCGUCAGGGAGGGAGUACUGGUGUGGUUCCUGGGUUCUGAUUGACCUGCUGCCUGUGCCCUCAUGGCAUCGUUUGUUCUCUGCAGCCUAUUGCUACGUUCUUGGCUUCUCCUCUAGCUAGAGACCAGCUUGAAUACAGUACUUUUCUGGCAUCAGAUUUCCGGCAAUGAAAAGAGAAGACGUAGCAAGAGAAUUCAGAGACACCAUCAAACACGUUUCAGAUAACAACCGGCGCAGAUAUGAGAGCGUUUUCGAGGUGCCCAGAUAUAUAUAUAUAUUUAAUCUUCUAUCGAUCCAAUCUGUUCCUGCGGAGGAGGAAAGGGGAGAAGAUGAAAGGCGAUUUUGAGAAAACUUUUAGGAUCCCGGUGCUGUAAUUUUGGCUUUUAUGUGUUUUCUAAAUCGCUGAAGAAUUAGACAGCCAGCACCUUAAUAAAGGAGAAGGAAAGG